rnacentral:lncRNA from 1 species
UGAACAAGCAAGACGCCUAAAGCAUACAUACACAAACACAAACAAUGCGAUGAUAGCAUAUAGCUAGUCCAUACACCCGCAUCUCCUCAUACGGAUAUUUAUAUGACAUACGAUGCGUCGCUAGUACAGUCUGUCUCUGUACCCCCGCCCUCCAAAGCUGCGUCGAAUGCAAACGUCUCUGCACCCACACCCCACACAAUCUGCGUCGCUAGCCCAUACGUCUCUGAGCCCCCACCCACCAAAGCUGCGUCGCUAGUCCAGACAUCUCUGAACCCCCGCCCUC